rnacentral:lncRNA from 1 species
AAUUCAAAGGAUCAAAAGAAAAUUCAAAGAGUUGCGGGAGUUGAACUAAAAAUAUUUCGUUAACUUUCAAACAACAACUUCUCAACUAUUUUUCUUCUCUUUUAUCUUUUUAUUCUCUUUUUUUUUCUUUUUCAGAUCAGAAGGAAUAUGUAAUGACAUCCUUCUUUUCUUUUUCUAUUUUUUUUCCAAUUUUUUUCUUUUUCAAUUUAUUUUCUUUUGUUCUGCCAACUUUUUUUUUAAUCAAAUAUCACAACUAUAACUAUUCAACCCCACACAACUCCAACAAGACUUUUUCAACCAUAUAAAU